CCUACGGGAGGCAGCAGUGGGGAAUAUUGGGCAAUGGGCGCAAGCCUGACCCAGCAACGCCGCGUGAAGGAAGAAGGCUUUCGGGUUGUAAACUUCUUUUGACAGGGAAGAGUAGAAGACGGUACCUGUCGAAUAAGCCACGGCUAACUACGUGCCAGCCGCCGCGGUAAUACGUAGGUGGCAAGCGUUGUCCGGAUUUACUGGGUGUAAAGGGCGUGUAGCCGGGUUGACAAGUCAGAUGUGAACUCCUGGGGCUUAACCUAAAAACUGCAUUUGAAACUGUUGAUCUGGAGUACUGGAGAGGCAGACGGAAUUCCUAGUGUAGCGGUGAAAUGCGUAGAUAGUAGGAGGAACACCAGUGGCGAAGGCGGUCUGCUGGACAGCAACUGACGGUGAGGCGCGAAAGCGUGGGGAGCAAACAGGAUUAGAUACCCUUGUAGUC
rnacentral:rRNA from 1 species